rnacentral:rRNA from 1 species
GGAUUAGCUAGUUGGUGAGGUAAGGGCUCACCAAGGCGACGAUCCCUAGCUGGUCUGAGAGGAUGAUCAGCCACACUGGAACUGAGACACGGUCCAGACUCCUACGGGAGGCAGCAGUGGGGAAUAUUGCACAAUGGGCGCAAGCCUGAUGCAGCCAUGCCGCGUGUGUGAAGAAGGCCUUCGGGUUGUAAAGCACUUUCAGUCGUGAGGAAGGUGGUGUAGUUAAUAGCUGUAUCAUUUGACGUUAGCGACAGAAGAAGCACCGGCUAACUCCGUGCCAGCAGCCGCGGUAAUACGGAGGGUGCGAGCGUUAAUCGGAAUUACUGGGCGUAAAGCGCAUGCAGGUGGUUUGUUAAGUCAGAUGUGAAAGCCCGGGGCUCAACCUCGGAAUUGCAUUUGAAACUGGCAGACUAGAGUACUGUAGAGGGGGGUAGAAUUUCAGGUGUAGCGGUGAAAUGCGUAGAGAUCUGAAGGAAUACCGGUGGCGAAGGCGGCCCCCUGGACAGAUACUGACACUCAGAUGCGAAAGCGUGGGGAGCAAACAGGAUUAGAUACCCUGGUAGUCCACGCCGUAAACGAUGUCUACUUGGAGGUUGUGGCCUUGAGCCGUGGCUUUCGGAGCUAACGCGUUAAGUAGACCGCCUGGGGAGUACGGUCGCAAGAUUAAAACUCAAAUGAAUUGACGGGGGCCCGCACAAGCGGUGGAGCAUGUGGUUUAAUUCGAUGCAACGCGAAGAACCUUACCUACUCUUGACAUCCAGAGAACUUUCCAGAGAUGGAUUGGUGCCUUCGGGAACUCUGAGACAGGUGCUGCAUGGCUGUCGUCAGCUCGU